GACGAACGCUGGCGGCGUGCUUAACACAUGCAAGUCGAACGGGCUCUGUCUGGCUGUGUGCUGGGUGGGGUUAGUGGCGAACGGGUGAGUAAUACGUGAGUAACCUGCCCUCUUCUUUGGGAUAAUCCUUGGAAACGGAGUCUAAUACUGGAUAUUCCUGUCUGGUCGCAUGGCUGGGUGGGGAAAGUUUUUUUCGGUGGGGGAUGGGCUCGCGGCCUAUCAGUUUGGUGGUUGGGUGAUGGCCUACCAAGGCGUCGACGGGUAGCCGGCCUGAGAGGGUGACCGGCUAUACUGAGACUGAGACACGGCCCCGACUGGUACGGGAGGCAGCAGUGGGGGAUAUAGCACAAUGGGCGUCAGCCUGAUGCAGCGACGCCGAGUGGGAGAUGACGGCUUUCGGGUUGUAAACCUCUUUCGUCGGGGGACAAGGCUCUGCUUGGUGGUGGGGUUGAGGGUACCCGGUGAAGAAGCGCCGGCUAACUACGUG
rnacentral:rRNA from 1 species